UCCGUAGGUGAACCUGCGGAAGGAUCAG
rnacentral:rRNA from 18 species